GAGGCUUCUUGAUCCUAUGUGUUGUAUUGAGUGUUGGUCACUGGUCUUUGGGAAGCUUGGACAGAAGUGGGGCAGCCAUGGAGCUGCUGACUGGGACUGGCCUGUGGCCCGUGGUCAUAGUCACAGUCAUCUUCAUAUUACUGGUGGACAUGUUGCACCGGUGCCAGCGCUGGACUUCUUGCUGCCCACCAGACCCUGUGCCAUGGCCUGUGCUGGGUAACCUGCUGCAGGUGGACCUGGAUAACAUGCCAUAUAACUUGUACAAGCUUCACAACCGCUAUGGUGACGUGUUCAGCCUGCAGAUGGGCUGGAACCACAUGGCCGUGAUCAACGGACUGAAGGUGAUACAGGAAGUGUUGGUGACCUGUGGAGAGGACACUGCUGACCGCCCUGAAAUGCCCAUCUUUCCACACCUAGGCUAUGGGCAAAAAGCUAAAGGCAAAGGCUGUGUGGGGGCAGAGAUGGCAUCAAAGCCAGACAAGGGGGGACAGUGAGCAAAGGAAGGUCAGAUCAUGAUGCAGGUGGUAAUGUAGUUAAGCAUUGCAGCAGAAAGUCACAGAAAUCCAUUGUGGAGCCUCCUGAGCAUGGUGGAGGGUGGUAGAGACAUGUACUGGAGGAAGGGUGAGGUAUGGAGGACACCGACAAAGAAGAGAAAUGAAGGUGGGAGGGGGCACCAAAGCCAGGUGUCCUUGGUUUUACACAGAUGUGUCUGCAGGUGUGGUCCUUGCUCCUUAUGGGCCUGAGUGGAAAGAGCAGAGGUGAUUCUCUGCGUCGACCCUGUGCAACUUCAGCCUGGGCAAGAAAUCACUGGAGCAGUGGGUGAUGGAAGAGGUUGGACACCUCUUUGAUGUCUUCACUGCCCAUGCUGAGGAGGCUGUAGACAAGAGAUUUGGAAAGAACACAUCUAGAAGUGUCCACCACAGUAAUAGGAGCCUGGAGAUUGACAUACAGCAAAAGGAAGUGAGAAGCUGACCAAGGUCAGGGCUUCUAGAAGCUGAGACCCUGGCCCUCUGCCCACAUGGAACAUCUGUGAGAUUUUCCAGGUUCUGAACACAUUCCCAAUUCUCCUACGCAUCCCAGGGUUGGCUGACAAAGUCUUCCCUGGGCAAAAGACAUUUCUCAUAAUGGUGGAUAAGCUGGUGACUGAGCACAAGAGGACCUGGAACUCGGACCAGCCGCCUCGAGACCUGACUGAUGCCUUUAUGGCUGAGAUGGAGAAGGCAAAGGGAAACCCUGAGAGUAGCUUCAAUGAUGCAAAUCUAUGUCUGGUUGUCCUUGACCUGCUGGGUGCUGCAACUGUGACCACCUCAACCACACUGUCCUGGGCCCUGCUGCUUAUGAUCCUGCAUCCGGAUGUGCAGUGUGAGCCUGGCUGGGGCUGUCAAGAAAGGAGGAGGAGGGUAGAGGCAAACUCCUUAAACUUACUUGGGACACUUGUAGAUCCCAGCAUUGAGUUAACCCAGACUGCAGUAAGUAUGGUUGCCUUAUUUCUCCCAUGGACCCAGCCCUUAACAGAGAGGUAGUGGAUGGACAAGGGGCACCCACUGAAGCAUCUUAACUGAUGGGAAAAUGUCCUUCCAGGCCAAGUACAACAGGAAAUCGAUGAGGUCAUUUGGUAUGUGUGGCUUCCAGAGAUGGCAGACCAGGUCUGCAUGCCCUUCACCAAUGCUGUCAUUCAUGAGGGCAUGACUCUCAUCUCCAACCUGUUCCGUGCUGAAGGAUGAGACUGUCUGGGAGAAGCCCCUUCGCUUCCAUCCUGAACACUUCCUGGAUGCCCAGGGCCACUUUGUGAAGCCUGAGGCCUUCAUGCCAUUCUCAGCAGCGCUUUAGCUUCUCAAUGCCAGCUGGACAAUCCCUUCCCAGUGAUUAUGGCAUCUAUACAAUGCCAGUUACUCCAGCACCUACCAGCUCUGUGCAGUGGUUUGCUAGCAGGGGCAGUGGCUCCAGCCAUCAUCACAGAUUGUUCUGACUGAUGUCCAAUAAACAAGUUUUGUGUCUGAA
rnacentral:lncRNA from 1 species